GGCUCAGAUUGAACGCUGGCGGCGUGCUUAACACAUGCAAGUCGCGCGUGAAAGGACUUCGGUCCGAGUAAAGCGGCGCACGGGUGAGUAACGCGUGGAUGAUCUACCCAUGAGUUAGGAAUAACGGCUGGAAACGGUCGCUAAUACCAAAUACGCUCCGAUUUCGAACUUCGGGGGAAAGGUGGCCUCUGCUUGCAAGCUACUGCUCAUGGAUGAGUCCGCGUCCCAUUAGCUAGUUGGUGGGGUAACGGCCCACCAAGGCGACGAUGGGUAGCCGGUCUGAGAGGAUGACCGGCCACACUGGGACCUGGAACACGGCCCAGACUCCUACGGGAGGCAGCAGUGGGGAAUAUUGCGCAAUGGGCGAAAGCCUGACGCAGCGACGCCGCGUGAGGGAUGAAAGGGUCCUCGGAUCGUAAACCUCUGUCAGGAGGGAAGAACCGCCACGGUGCUAAUCAGCCGUGGUCUGACGGUACCUCCAAAGGAAGCACCGGCUAACUCCGUGCCAGCAGCAGC
rnacentral:rRNA from 1 species